UACGUAGGGACCAAGCGUUGUUCGGAUUUACUGGGCGUAAAGGGCGCGUAGGCGGCAAACUAAGUCAUCUGUGAAAUCUCCGGGCUUAACUCGGAACGGCCAAGUGAAACUGUCAAACUAGAGUGCAGAAGGGGCAAUCGGAAUUCUUGGUGUAGCGGUGAAAUGCGUAGAUAUCAAGAGGAACACCUGAGGUGAAGACGGGUUGCUGGGCUGACACUGACGCUGAGGCGCGAAAGCCAGGGGAGCAAACGGG
rnacentral:rRNA from 1 species